rnacentral:rRNA from 1 species
UACGAAGGGGGCUAGCGUUUUUCGGAAUCACUGGGCGUAAAGCGCACGUAGGCGGACUUGUUAGUCAGGGGUGAAAUCCCAGGGCUCAACCCUGGAACUGCCUUUGAUACUGCAAGUCUCGAGUCCGGAAGAGGUGAGUGGAACUCCUAGUGUAGAGGUGAAAUUCGUAGAUAUUAGGAAGAACACCAGUGGCGAAGGCGGCUCACUGGUCCGGAUCUGACGCUGAGGUGCGAAAGCGUGGGGAGCAGACAGG